CCAUGCGGGGCUUUGUUGGGGUGCAGAUGGGAACCUUCUCUUCGCAUGACCCCGGACCAGGCCCUCAAGCAUGCUUGGAUUCAUCAGUCUCAGAACCUCAAGCCACAGCCCAGGCCCCAGACCCUAAGGAAAUCCAAUUCCUUUUUCUCCUCUGAGACAAGGAAGAACAAGGUUCAAGGCUGUCAUCACUCGAGGAAAAAAGCAGAUGAGAUCACCAAAGAGACUACAGAGAAAACAAAAGAUGGCCCCAUGAAGCAUGUUCAGCAUUCAGGUGAUCAGCAGGACUCUCUCCAGCUCGGAGCUGACACUGUUCAGCUGCCUCAACUGGUAGAAGCUCCCAAGAAGUCAGAGGCAGCUGUUGGGGCGGAGGUGUCCGUGACCUCCCCAGGACAAAGCAAAAACUUCUCCCUCAAGAACACAAACAUUUUACCCCCUAUUGUAUGACCUUUGCUGAGGGUAUGUCCUGCUCCUUUCCACCAGUGAUUUGUAUUAAGACAGCACUUAUAUUGUACAA
rnacentral:sRNA from 1 species